UGGGGAAUUUUGGACAAUGGGGGCAACCCUGAUCCAGCAAUGCCGCGUGAGUGAAGAAGGCCUUCGGGUUGUAAAGCUCUUUUGUCAGGGAAGAAACGGUGGUGGCGAAUAACUACUACUAAUGACGGUACCUGAAGAAUAAGCACCGGCUAACUACGUGCCAGCAGCCGCGGUAAUACGUAGGGUGCAAGCGUUAAUCGGAAUUACUGGGCGUAAAGCGUGCGCAGGCGGUUGUGUAAGUCAGAUGUGAAAUCCCCGGGCUCAACCUGGGAAUUGCAUUUGAGACUGCACGGCUAGAGUGUGUCAGAGGGGGGCUAGAAUUCCACGUGUAGCAGUGAAAUGCGUAGAUAUGUGGAGGAAUACCGAUGGCGAAGGCAGCCCCCUGGGAUAAGCACUGACGCUCAUGCACGAAAGCGUGGGGAGCAAACAGGAUUAGAUACCC
rnacentral:rRNA from 1 species